rnacentral:rRNA from 1 species
GGGAAGUACGCUCGCAAGAGUGAAACUCAAAGGAAUGGACGGGGACCCGCACAAGUAGCGGAGCAUGUGGUUUAAUUCGAAGCAACGCGAAGAACCUUACCUAAGCUUGACAUCCCAAUGACAUCUCCUUAAUCGGAGAGUUCCUUUCGGGGACAUUGGUGACAGGUGGUGCAUGGUUGUCGUCAGCUCGUGUCGUGAGAUGUUGGGUUAAGUCCCGCAACGAGCGCAACCCUUGUCUUUAGUUGCCAUCAUUAAGUUGGGCACUCUAGAGA